UGAGUAACACGUAGGUGACCUACCCCAAAGUCUGGGACAACCAGGAGAAAUCCUGGCUAAUCCCGGAUGUGGACACAUCCUGUGGGGUGUGUUUAAAGCUCCGGCGCUUUGGGAUGGGCCUGCGGCGCAUCAGGUAGUUGGUGGGGUAAUGGCCCACCAAGCCGACGACGCGUAGCUGGUCUGAGAGGACGGCCAGCCACAGGGGUACUGAGACACGGACCCCACUCCUACGGGAGGCAGCAGUUAGGAAUCUUCCGCAAUGGGCGAAAGCCUGACGGAGCGAUACCGCUUGAAGGAGGAAGCCCUUCGGGGUGUAAACUUCUGAACUGGGGACGAUAAUGACGGUACCCAGGUAAUAGCACCGGCUAACUCCGUGCCAGCAGCCGCGGUAAUACGGAGGGUGCGAGCGUUACCCGGAUUUACUGGGUGUAAAGGGCGUGUAGGCGGUCUUGCAAGUCCGGUGCUAAAGACCGGGGCUCAACCCCGGGGGUGCGCUGGAUACUGUAAGGCUAGACGGUCGGAGGGGGUAGUGGAAUUUCCGGAGUAGCGGUGAAAUGCGCAGAUACCGGAAGGAACGCCGAUAGCGAAGGCAGCUACCUGGACGACAUGUGACGCUGAGGCGCGAAAGCGUGGGGAGCAAACCGGAUUAGAUACCCGGGUAGUCCACGCCCUAAACGAUGAGUGCUGGGUGUCCGGCAUCCGCCGGGUGCCGAAGCUAACGCGUUAAGCACUCCAC
rnacentral:rRNA from 1 species